GACGAACGCUGGCGGCGCGCCUAACACAUGCAAGUCGAACGGGACUAUUUUGGGAGAAGUUUUCGGAUGGAUCUCGGGAUAGUUUAGUGGCGGACGGGGGAGUAACACGUGAGCAACCUACCUUCGAGAGGGGAAUAACGGCUGGAAACGGUCGCUAAUACCGCAUAACAUACUGGGGGGACAUCCCUUUGGUAUCAAAGAUUUUAUCGCUCGGAGAUGGGCUCGCGUCCGAUUAGGUAGUUGGUGAGGUAACGGCUCACCAAGCCGACGAUCGGUAGCCGGACUGAGAGGUCGAACGGCCACAUUGGGACUGAGACACGGCCCAG
rnacentral:rRNA from 1 species